UGAAGAAGUAAUAAAUCUAGUAUAUUACUUGGAUUCGAAACAUUUUUUGCUUGGGCAUAUAGAAUUCCUCCUCCUCCUCCUCUGCUUGUUCCAGAUCCAUCUACAUAUUAAUGAGUAACGACAAGAGAAAAGGUCUUGUAAAUACUUCUCUUGUUGAUAAUGAAGGUGUUAAGGCAAAAGCUGCAUGGGAUGUGAAAGCCACCAAGAUGUUUGUUAAAUUAUGCUUGGAUCAAGUUUAUAAAGGAGAACGAAAUGGUACUAACCUUACAAAAAAAGGUGGAAAGUUGUUGAAUCUGAAUUCAACAUGAAAAGUGGAAGAAAAUAUGGCAAGAGUCAAUGUAGAAACAAAUGGGAUAAUCUUAAGAAGGAAUGGUCAAUAUGGUACACGUUGUUUGGCAAAGAGACAGGUUUAGGAUAGGAUAAUGUAAGAAAUACAGUAGAUGCUUCAGACGAGUGGUGGGAUAAAAAGCAAAUGGUUAUCAUGUUACUCUACUUGUUGGAGGUGAUGAAGGAGCAAGAAUCCUUUGUUAUCGGUGAUAAGUGUACUAAUUUUGCUGCAUAAGUACAAUUGUUGCUCUGUCUCAUUUUACAGACCUUAAAUAUGAUUUUAAUGAGCUUUAGGUGAUGAUUCAAUUUUCCUUAGGUUAUUAUAUAACUAUACAAGGUGUUCGUCAUGAAACAAAACUAAAAUUUCGUGUU